ACAGAACAGGAGGAUCUUGGUGAUGCUGGCUAACAACACAAUGCCCUUGGUCUUCAGAAGAGGUUUAGGCUCCAGAAGUUGCCACAGAUGUACCUGGUGGUUCCCCACAUCAUUUCAGGGCCUCCAAAUCGGCUUUCCCUCUUUGAUGGAGUGAGCUGACUUUCCUUGAUAUCCCUAUCAGGUUCUGUGCUUCCUUCUUUCAAGAUGAACAGAAAUCAUGUCCCUGCUGGAGCUGGACAGCAUUUCUGCCUAUCACACCUGUGAGCAGUGUUUAUGGCUUCCAGACAAGGUCAAAGCUGCAAAGCCUACAUGACAGCUGGGCUGCCUUCCCCAGCCCAGUCUCUCCCCUCGACUUGUUGGCACGGUCUUUCAACCUCCAGAUUGCGUGUGUUUGGUUCAGUUGAAAACAAAACAAACCACAGUCACACUUCACCUUUGCUUGUCUGUUUUGCAGAAUGAAGCUUCCAAGGGGCCGGCCUUCACCCUACCUGGCUCAGAGAACAGUAGUGUGGGGGGUCAGUGAAAAGGAACUGCAAAGUAGACUUGGGAGCUGGCAUGAGGGCUGACUUCCUUCCAAUAAGCCUAAAACAUCUUUGCACAAUCCCACAGAGCCAAGCUCCUUGCCACCAGCUCCUAGAUAUUGACCCAAGCAAGUUGUUUUGACUCCUCCUGCCCUGGAUCAGAUGUCUCUCCCCUGGAACAUUUGUUCACCUUUGCCUGAGUUGCUUAACUGCCCUGCAGUCCACCUAGACCAUGGGUGUCUGGAAGACUGGGAUCAUGUCCAGUGGCCCAGCACUCGGGCUACCCAGCAAGUAUCUGUUGAAUGAAUGACUGCAUGGGGCAAAACCCACAUUUCAACACUAAAGCUUCCUCUGGGUCACAGAUAUUCGAGGGGGACUUGUGGGCAAUGUCAGUAUGGUGGAAGAAGGAAGGCCAACUCCUGGGGAAUCUAAGAAUAGAAGCAGUAGUCCUGAGUUAUCUGCCUCCAAAACCUAAACAGAGGGACAAAACAGCUGUGGUCCAUUGCUGCACCACCCAGUUCCUUUUUAGGCUUAUGAAUCUUGACAGUCACCUUGCUUUGACGGAGAAGGAAAGAGAACAGCCUGUGUGAUAGAGAGCCUUCAGGAGAGAAGGUGGAAAAGGACUUACCCUAGUCAGUGAGGAUACUACAACAGCUGCAGUGGCUGGGAUAGCUCCACUUGAAUGAGAUGACGCUGGGCCACUUAGGGAAAAGAGAGAAGAUCCCGAAGAUGACAAGGACCACAAGUCAGGGAGAGGACUUGGGACACACAGCAGGAGGGGAUUAAAGGAUUAUGUGUAUUGGGCCCCUGUUACCAGCACCCAGAAAGGCAUGCACUUUAACUGCCAAGAAACUAAUAAUGAAUUGGAACACCAUCACUGUGCUCAACCUCUGUGCUAUUUCAAAAUCAGCUGUACACUGGCUUUGUAGGGCACGGUGGGUGAAAGCCAGUACAGGCUCUUGUGUUGUCAUUUAAUGAUUAAAAAAAAAUGUAUGUGCUUAUUUUGGUUUAGGGGGACAGGGUCUCAAGUCGCUGGCUUUGAACUUGUUAUGCAUCCAACACUGUCUUUGAACACCUGUGGGUUCUAGAAUUGACGUAUGUACCCCCCACAAUGGGCAAUCUGAACUUUAUUUUUUUAAAGACAGGGUCUUACUACGUAUGUUCAACUGGCCCAGAAUUUGCUUUGUAGACCAGGCUGGCCUUGAACUCACAGAGAUCGGCCUGCCUCUAGAUCUAGCUGCCUCUGGUGGGAUUAAAAGUGUAAACUAACACACCUUGCUCUCUGAUCCUUUCCAGGACAGCUAGGCUACACAGAGAGACCCUGUCCCAGGGGUGGGGCUGAGGAGCAACUAACUUGCUGACAUGCUAGCUGUUCUUUUGAAUGUUCUACACCCAUCGUUUCAGACAAACCUCACAGCUUUCCUAGGUAACCCUUUGCUAAAUAAGUAUGCACAUCUCACUGGUGGGCAAAUAAAGACAUUGUGAGGUUAAAUUACA
rnacentral:lncRNA from 1 species